rnacentral:rRNA from 1 species
CCAGACUCCUACGGGAGGCAGCAGUCGGGAAUAUUGCACAAUGGAGGAAACUCUGAUGCAGUGACGCCGCGUGCAGGAAGAAGGUUUUCGGAUUGUAAACUGCUUUAGACAGGGAAGAAACAAGACAGUACCUGUAGAAUAAGCUCCGGCUAACUACGUGCCAGCAGCCGCGGUAAUACGUAGGGAGCAAGCGUUAUCCGGAUUUAUUGGGUGUAAAGGGUGCGUAGACGGGUAUAUAAGUUAGUUGUGAAAUCCCUCGGCUCAACUGAGGAACUGCAACUAAAACUGUAAAUCUUGAGUGCGGGAGAGGAAAGUGGAAUUCCUAGUGUAGCGGUGAAAUGCGUAGAUAUUAGGAGGAACACCAGUGGCGAAGGCGACUUUCUGGACCGUAACUGACGUUGAGGCACGAAAGUGUGGGGAGCAAACAGGAUUAGAUACCCCAGUA